AGUUCUCAUUUGCUUUAGACAUAUCGCCAUCAUGAUUUUUGUAAGCUCCAGUGGAAAAAGGAUGGUAGUACAGUGGAAAAAAUGACUGAGUUUGUCUGAACUCUGAGGCCAACCACACUGCCUACGUUUGUUCUGCAGAGAGGAGUUUGUCUAGCCAUCGUCUAGUUGGUGGAUGUUUUCGAUUUUCAUAAAAAACAAGGAAGAGCUCCCUUUUUAUAUAUCUUUUUAUUCAUUAUACAGGAACUGAACUUGGCACACUUCUCUUUAGACACCAACUUUCGCUAACGUGAGUCGUGACGUAUGGAUCUCAAUCAUGCUGUGUUGCCAGGACGGCUGCUUCUGAUAGGCUUGUAACGUUAGUUAGAGCUGCGUUCCUCUCAUGUGAUUGCCUCACGCCGGAGAUCCGGCACGGUGCCGGAAUGCUUUAAGCCCUGAGUCCAGGUAAAGGUCAGUGAAAGUGUAAUGGUUAUCAGCUGGAGUGCCCCUGAGAGCCACCUGAGGGCACUCCAUAUCAGACUAUCAUUGUUCACUCACAACUACAUUUCCCAUAAUUCACUGCCCAGACUCAUCAUCCAUGAUUAUCACAUUCACCUGUCUCAUUAUAUUGUUUAGUUCACCCCAUAUUUAAGCCUGAUUCACCUCAUCAUUCCCUGUGGAGUCUUGUACGUUAUUCUACUGCAUUUAUGAGCGUUUCCUUUGUUUUUUGUUUCUUUAUUCCUGGUUUUAGAUUUCUGCUCGUGUCCUGGUUUUCCCGUUCCUGCCUCACCCUCUGGAUUUGUCUGUUUGUUUGGAUUGCCUGCCUUUGUUUGACCUUUGCCUUGAUUCUGAUCAUAAUUUGGAUUAACUUUAAUAAACUGCAUUUGGAUCCUCAACUUUCCUGUCUUUGAGCAGUUCAUAACAGAAAGUGAUUUUGUGACUCUUUGGCACCACAAGGUGUCGUUCAGUUGCAGAACACAAGCUUUUGGAGGACACAUAGAUCUGAAGCAGGAGUUUAGGUCUUGCUGCAGCAUCUGGAUCAGAUGCAGAGGUUGGACUGAUGCUGGAAGAGCUGGCAAGAGAGCACUACAAUAGUCCAGUCUGGAUAGAAAAAUAGCAUAAUAUAGGCUACAGUAUAAAACAAACUAUUCUUUGCUACUUUUAGGGCAAUCAUAUGGAAUCAGAAGACUCGUUCAUUACAAUUUAUUUAAGUUACUUCAUCCCAUGUGUGGAUGGCAAGUGUUUUUCACCCUUUACGCAAUUUUACUGUAAAUGUUCGUUUCUUAACCCUUUUAUGCAUAGAGGUCACUAGUGGACAGCUAUUAUCUACCGUGGACCUAGGUGCAUCAUCCUAUGCAUUGCAACCAAGUUGCAAGCCGUAGUCUGGGUUUUCCCAGGCUAGCCCCUUUUCUUCUAUCAGACUCCCGAAGGGGGAAAAAAAAUAUUGUAGCAUUAAGCAAUAUCUAAUGAGUCAUAUCACAGUUACAUUUUCUAAGUAUUGAUUUUAGAUCUGAUUAAUCGUCUGUCCACUAUAGAGGACCUCAUGCAUAAAUGGCUACAUUCCAGCUACAAUUCAUACUUAUACUGAGUGCUGUUUUUGAAAAUAACCAGCAUUUUGUGACUGUAAAUAAAUGUAUUUGUGUUAGAAUGUAAGUUUCAUUGACAUCAAAAAAAAGUCAUGUAAUUACAUAAUGUAUCUGACCUGUAAUGCAUUACUAUACUCAUUUGAUCAAAAAAAGUAAUCGAAUAAUGUAAUGCACAUUAGGGCUACUUGGCUAGGCUACUUGUUAGAUCAAAAAUUAUUCUGAUUACGUAAUGCAUGUUGCUUGUAAUGCAUUACUUUACUUGUUAGAUCAAACCGUAAUCUGAUAACGUAAUGCAGGUUUCUUUUAAUGCUUUUCUUUACUCGUAAUAUCAAAACAUAAUCUGAUUACAUAAUGCAAAUUACUUGUAAUUAAUUACUUUAUUUGUUAAAAAAUCAAUUAAAUCUUGUUUUUCAUGCCCUAAUGGCACUAAACACACACAUAGGAAAAAAAAUCCUGACUGCAGGUUAUUAUAAUUUAUGCAUACAAGGGUUGUUAAACAAACGAUUGCUUUACAGGUGCGACAGCAAAAAUGACUGUCCACUGGUCCAGGUGUGUUUACUUUGUGCAUUGUGUGUGUGUGUGUGU